AAUCAACGCUGGCGGCGUGCCUCAGACAUGCAAGUCGAACGCGAAAGUCCCCUUCGGGGGACGAAGUAGAGUGGCGCACGGGUGAGUAACACGUAGGUAAUCCACCUUCGGAUGGGGAAGUAACAACCGGAAACGGUUGCUAAUACCGCAUAAUGCAGCGGCACCUAAUGGUGACAGUUGUUAAAGCGGGGGAGUCGAAAGACCUCGCGUCUGAAGAGGAGCCUGCGGCGGAUUAGCAGUUGGUAAGGUAACGGCUUACCAAGGCGACGAUCCGUAGCCGGCCUGAGAGGGCGGUCGGCCACACUGACACUGACAUACGGGUCAGACUCCUACGGGAGGCAGCAGUCGGGGAA
rnacentral:rRNA from 1 species